rnacentral:rRNA from 1 species
AUUGAACGCUGGCGGCAGGCCUAACACAUGCAAGUCGAACGAAGUGGCGAACGGGUGAGUAAUACGUGGGUAACCUGCCCUCCUUUUUGGGAUAAGCCUUGGAAACGGGGUCUAAUACCGCAUAUAGGGGGAUGGGCUCGCGGACUUUCCGCUUGUUGGGGGGGUGAUGGCCUACCAAGGCGGUGACGGGUAGCCGGCCUGAGAGGGUGACGGGCGCCAGUGGGAGUGAAGUACGGCCCAGGCGCCUACGGGAGGCAGCAGUGGGGGAUAUUGCACAAUGUGAGAAAGCCUGGUGCAGCGACGCAGCGGGGGGGAUGAAGGCUUUCGGGUUGUAAACCUCUUUCGCUAGCGAACGGGUAGGUGGAGAAGAAGCACCGGCUAACUCCGUGCCAGCAGCCGCGGUAAUUC